UAAGGGACAAAACGGGACAAAAUGCUGGCAGCCGUUUGAUUUUAAAUGAAUUGAUCCUACGGAUACAACAUCAAAUCAUUUAAAACCCAAUUUUCUUUUACUCAUUACCCUCAAUCUCGUCUCUUUGGCCACUCUUUAUCUUUUUAUCUUCUUCCUCCCUCAUCUUUAUCUUCAUCCCCUCUCUGCUCACAGCUCACUUGCUCUAAAACUCAUUAGAGCCUCAUGAAGAUUUAAAGCUUCUUAUCUAAACCCAGUAUUUGAACCGCAUAAGAAAAUAUCAUAUCAAAAUAUAGCAGAUCUGGUGAUUUGAAUCUCUUCUCAAUCAUAUGGGCGAUGUCCAUAGGAUCACAAUCCAAUGAAUCUCUUGUUUGGUGGAAAUAAGAUGAGUACAUGUGGAGAAGAAGAUGUCAAUUAAUUCUUUUUAUUGUCUUUCAGUGAGGGAAGGAUUUAAUGAUGCUAACCAAAAUUUUAUUCAAAGAAAUUCUCUCCAAUUCCGAUCAAUAACUGCAUUUAUAUGAUGGUUUGAGACGAGGGAGGAAGAUAAAGAUAAAGAGGCUCUGUGGCCAAAGAGACGAGAUUGGAUUUUACAUGAUUUGACGUUGUAUCCGUAGGAUCAAUUCAUUAAAAAUCGAACGGCUGUCAGCUUUUUGUCUCGUUUUGUCUCUUAAUUCAUGUCCCGCAGGGUUAAAUUGUGAGGCUAUUUCAGCCGCAUCACUCUUCAUCAUCUUCCUUUGGACGAAAUGGAUAUUUCUUUGCAUAUAAAUUUU